GGAGGACAAAGCACUGGAGACUACAGGGCUGUUAACAGAGAAACAAGUUAAGAUGUUAAAGACAGAAAAAUUGGAAGCAAUUAAAAUACUGAAUGGUUAACAAGCACUGUCAGUACUGGGACCAUGUGUAGUGUUUUAAAAGGCUUAGAUUUUACUUGAAGAAGUAAAAUUGUGUGCACAAAUUUAUUGGGGCUAUACUGUGAUUAAAUAUUUAUAUUAGUGAAAUUAUUCCUGCCACACUUAUGGCAUCUAAUGGUUGCUAUGGAGACCUGAUUACAGCAAGCAUUUCUCACUUUGCUGCUGUUCUCUCACAUUGAGCUUUUUUUGUUUUUUGUCAGUCUUAUUCUUGACAGCUCAAGCUGACGCCGAGACUUUAUGUACGGAAAUGUUUAGGUGAGUAACUAUUUCCUUCAAAAAUAUCCUGAUUUUUUUUGAAGAUCAACAGACAGCAUGUCAUAUUUUAAUGUCAUAUAUUUUUGCUUUCCUAUUUUAAAAUGUGACUGAAAGGAACUGAGCUACAAAGCUGUGCGCCAGGAAAAACUGAAAAGGUUACUGGAAGAUAUGAUCAACUUUAAGAAGAAAGUUACAUUAAUUUGCCAAAGAAUGACACUGGAUUUUAUUAAAAUCUAAUAUUUCUUGAAGGUUUUUUUUUCCCCUCUUCAAUUGUUUUAAUUGUUUUUGUGUGAGAUUAUGCUUCUAAAAUAAAUGUACAUUUUAUUUUUACAACAUUUCUUGUUUCAAGAUGGAACUUUAUGUAAAAAUCUCAACAACAGAAACAAUGUGCGAUGUUGUUCCUUCUUUACUUUACCCCACUUUCCAUUUCCAAUCUGCAGAAAAUCUUUAUUUUUUUUUUUUUUUUCUUUGACUCACCACAACAUGGACAUGAACACAUUUGGGAACAGAAGCCACCAGUACCAGUUCCCCUUGGAGGAGAAUGCAGCCAUCAGCAUACCAACCAAAGUCCCGUUGUAUCCAUGAAGCCCAGCAAAAAUCGCCUCCCUGAGGACAAAAUGACGACGUCUGACCUGUUUAGUCUGAGGAGGAGAGCCGACACAGUGGAGACAAAAGCUCCCAGCAGAGAGUUUAGAGCCCAC